UAUUAACGGCAUAUAUUUACGCAGGACUAUGCAGAUCUAAUCUGUCAGUAACGUUUUCCGGGGUGAUGUGCUCGGCUCUCCGCCACACAACUUAAUGGGAGACUCCACAAUUUGGCGGAGUGGCGGAGAAAUACGACAUAUGGUUCAAACUCGUGUCUGACGGAGGUCCCUUGAGCACGGGCAGACACACGAACCAUGAACUGGGCACUGCGCCUGCGCUACUGAACAGCUUCCCACACUCAGAAAAGCGUCUGCUGUCAAGCCAUACGUUUAAUCCCUGAUGUUUAGACCACGAGUCAAACCAGGCACUACCCGACAUGCCGAGAACGUGGAGACAUCACUGGACUUCAGCGAGUCUGCCAGGUGGGAAGGUACUUGGUGAACUUCAGCAGCGCAUCAAUGAUGCUGCACAGGGAUUCUCCAGCCUGCUAUUGAGUUACCUGGUGGAUGCGAUACUGUAAGGGAUCUAGAUAGCCUUGAUGCUUCAUUUCACCACAUAAUCACGUUAAGCACACACUCAAAGACUCAUUUUAAGAUGACGGACUACCUGUCUAGUCUGGAAGAGAAUGUGGGUGUCUGGAGGACAGCAGUUAUUAGGGAAGGUUUGGUGUACUGGAUGGUCAAUAACCCUUAAGCAUGGUGACUUUCUUUUGAAUUUGAAUUUUGAUACCAAAAGUGUGUAAUUUUUUUGUAAACCUGGUUUUGUUAUUUAUGUAUUUUAACUAAUGUAAUUCUAUUUGUGAAUGUAUGUUGUCACAAGUUGUCCUAUCUCACCGACUGUUGUGUUAUUAGUGAGCGUCAUCAGUGAACAAUACCAAUCCAAAGAUGAGAAUCAACCUGCCGUUUCCCUGUCUGUGUGGAGGAUUGGUUUUAGCACCACAUCUUGCAGUCAUUGAAAGGGCCACUGAGGCCUUCGCUGGAGCACCAGGAGGCCCAAGGGAGCGCUGACACUCUGGAAGUCCUGCUCUACGGUUGAAGUCCUGGCCUCUCUGCUGUGACUUUGCCUGGUGACUGCCUGCUUCAUUAGAGCUGUCAGUCACAGACCUAGCGACAAAGCUGCAACACGGGACAGUCCCGCCUCCCGAGGACAGCGCAAGGCAAAUGCAUCGUUGCUGCGGGUUUCACCGAUCACAUGACCAGCUGAGCUUUCCAGCCGUGUGGCUUUGCAGUGGGAGCCAUAUGCUUGGCUUGAUCCCUCCUGUGUGCCUGCCCUUUUCUCUCUCUCUCUCUCUCUAGGUCUCUUCUCAUGGUGACAGGGAUUAUAAUGGCUUUUAUUCCUGGUGGGAUCUCCUGCCAGGAUCUACGACUACCUCCCCACUCUGGCCUGCCCGGCUGUGUCCGUGCUCCGCACCGCGACUCCGGACCGCUCGCACUCGGAUUCCACUCCUUCGCCACUUUGUCGCUCAGAUUCUGGACACUUUGGCCAUGGGAAUCGCACGGCUGAACGAGGCGAGGCGCGUGCCCGGGCAGUUUGUUUCUGAUUAUUUUAUUGCGAAAGCGAAGUCUUCCAAACCAAACAGGGUUGUAGCUGGUCGAGCUGCAGCCUCUGGUCUGGGGCGCGAGCGUGAGCACAAGCAGACCUUCCCACUCUGAGCUGCAGCAGACACACACUGGGAGGGAGAGCUAUUGUGAAUCAUCAAAGGUGCAGUGGCAUUGAUGAGCCACCCCUGCUCACACGGGCCUGACACCCCUGGUAACGGGGGGGCAAACGGGUCCGGAGCCCCUGUAAAUGCUUUCACUGAACCUCCAGGCGUCCCAACACCAGUCAGCCCUCUUAAGAGUUCAGAAAGGCUCUCUUUGAGAUCCACAUGACAGAGGGCAGAGUUUUCGCACCCUAACUCUUCUGACUCAGCCCAUCCCCUGGGUGACGUUUCCCCAGCUACACCUGGACUUUUGUGCCAGGCACGGCUAUCUCACAUGCACUCUGGGAAUCACCUCAUCCAGCUGGAACAAACUUUAGCUGUCAUGGGACUUCCAGAAUAACAGUUAAGGUUAGGACUGAGGUAAUGAGAACCACUUGGUCCUGAAUCAAGUGUGAAAGAGGAAACGCGUCCAGAUUACGCUACCCUGGCUCGGAGCAGAAGCGAUUCAAGGAUCCAGCUCUCAAGGACCGGGAGGCCCUGCGGGUUUUGGAGGCAGCUACAGACUGUGUUAUAUGAGUCCUGACAGGCUCUGACACCCUGCCUGUCCUACAGGUUCAGGGGCUGUUUAGACAUCUCCUGAAUAUGCCAGGCUGCGUGAAUCACACCCUCAGAGAAGCAGCAUUGGAUUACAAAGUCUUAUCGUGUCCCUCUGACCCCAGGACAGCUGGGAGGCAGGAGAGGUGUGUGUAGCUGUCGCCUGGCUUCAGCAGACGGCCUGCAGGCUUAAUGGCGGUGUGCUCCGCGCCCAGGCAACAAAUAACAAAUGGAAGCUAUUAACAGCAGAUGUGUGCAUGUUGCACUUCGCACAUGCAUGUGUUGACUACAUGACUAUGGUCUUCUCCCUCUGAAAGGGCCCACUCUGGAAUUCCACCAUGGAACGCAGCUUUGCCAUGUCCCAUUCCCAACAGAGGUCCUCAAGAAUGAACUUCACUCUAUUCGCAACAUUAGGAAUCUUGCUUUAUUUGCAGUGUUUUCCACCUCCUGUGCUUCUGUGCCAAUACUUCACUGAUCCCAGGAAAAGGAGGCAACAUUAGAGAAUCAUAUCGAUGAGUAGGAAGAAAGCAUCAAGGCAGAGCACUGCUUCCAAAUCUUAGAGACUAACAAGUAAUGUAUUAAAGGAGACCUAUUAUGCUUUUAGGUUUUGUUAUGUAUUUCUUUUAGUGUUUUAUAAAGCUUUUGUGCAUGUAAACAGUCUGUAAAGUUACAAAGCCCAAAGUACACGCCAGCGUGAAUAAUUCUUUUCCAAAUAAACCACUUUUUACAACUGUC